rnacentral:rRNA from 1 species
GAUGAACGCUGGCGGCGUGCCUAAUACAUGCAAGUCGAGCGAACGGACGAGAAGCUUGCUUCUCUGAUGUUAGCGGCGGACGGGUGAGUAACACGUGGAUAACCUACCUAUAAGACUGGGAUAACUUCGGGAAACCGUAGCUAAUACCGGAUAAUAUUUUGAACCGCAUGGUUCAAAAGUGAAAGACGGUCUUGCUGUCACUUAUAGAUGGAUCCGCGCUGCAUUAGCUAGUUGGUAAGGUAACGGCUUACCAAGGCAACGAUGCAUAGCCGACCUGAGAGGGGGAUCGGACACACGGGAAGUGAGACACGGUCCAGACUCCUACGGGAGGAAGCAGUAGGGAAUCUUACGCAAUGGGCGAAAGCCUGACGGAGCAACGCCGCGUGAGUGAUGAAGGUCUACGGAUCGUAAAACUCUGUUAUUAGGGAAGAACAUAUGUGUAAGUAACUGUGAACAUCUUGACGGUACCUAAUCAGAAAGCCACGGCUAACUACGUG